rnacentral:rRNA from 1 species
UGNUGUGAAAUGUUGGGUUAANUCCCGCNANGAGNGCAACCCUUAUCCUUGUUUGCCAGCSAGUAAUGUYGGGAACUCCAGGGAGACUGCCGGUGAUAAACCGGAGGAAGGUGGGGACGACGUCAAGUCAUCAUGGCCCUUACGAGUAGGGCUACACACGUGCUACAAUGGCGCAUACAGAGGGCAGCAAGCUAGCGAUAGUGAGCGAAUCCCAAAAAGUGCGUCGUAGUCCGGAUUGGAGUCUGCAACUCGACUCCAUGAAGUCGGAAUCGCUAGUAAUCGUNGAUCAGAAUGCYACGGUGAAUACGUUCCCGGGCCUUGUACACACCGCCCGUCACACCAUGGGAGUGGGCUGCAAAAGAAGUGGGUAGUUUAACCUU